AUUACAGCGUCCAUGUGUCGUACUUCUUAGUCUCAACGCUAGGUGGUGGUGCUUUACAAGUCAACGGUCAUCCCUUCAAGAAGAGUGAGGGUGACGUCAUGUAAACGCGUCCACUACAACAGCAACCCCCGUCGCAUAUAAUCGGGAGAAGUAGAAUGCUUUCGACACGAUGGUAGUUGGUUUAUAAUGUAGCAUCACACUAUGAAACCUCACAGUCUGAAACUGCUGCCAAACCAGAACAAGCAGACUGUGUUGGCUACCCUGCUAGCUUAAGCAAACUAGUUUUGAGACUUUUGACCAUGAUAAUCCGUCUGCUUCUAGUUAACUCGUCUCAUAAGAAUCGCAUAAAGCGUAUAGUUAUAAUUUGUACGUUAUAUUAUAUGUGACAAGUAUGACCAGAGCACAGCGACACAGGAAAAGUGUUAGUUUCUUGGUCGAGAACUUGAAAAAAUAUGGCGACACGUUCCACGGAGACCCUAAAGGUUUUUUAUUGAUUAAUUAUUUAUUUAUUUUGCCAACUUUAUGAGAUGUUGCUGACCCUGCAUGGGAACUCACUGCAUUUUUUUUCUUUGCUUGUUUUAACUUAAAGCAAAGAUAAGUGAAAGAUUACCAUUUUCGUUAUACUGACAUUUUGGAAACGUUUUUAAAACUUUUUUUAAAAAUUUCACGUCCAUUUUUCCUAGCCUUUGCAGUAAAUUAAUAUCUGCUUCAUAUAUCGGUUAUUGGCCUCCUUGACUACUAAUGAUCGUUAUCGGUCCUGAAAAAAAUCUGUCUAUCUCUAGAUGUUAUUUAAUUCUUCAUUUUGUCUCUUUUUGCGAUGGUUAUAUUAAUUCUUCAAUAUAUUGUGUAUUGUUGACCAUACUGCAAUGGUUUUAUUUUGUUAAUUGACUAUUUUUACUGUGGCGUCAAGUUAAUUUUAUUUGUAUAGUAUAGUAUAAUGCAUAUAUAAGUUAUCGCAAGGCAUGUUAAACAUUGAGCAGGUCAAGAACCACACUCGUCACAUAUAGUGCGUGUAUGAGUAUAGGAAAACAAACGCAACCCCACUUGAUCAAACACUUGGCAACAGAGGGUAGGGAAAACUCCCUCUAAGGAAGAAACUAUGAACAGAAGUUAUAGAAUUUAUCAUGAGAUCAAGAUGACGCCUGACAAUUCAAUCAACAGUACUCUGCCAUUGCGAGGCUUCAAAUUGGAUGUUGUCAGAGCAAUGUGGCCACUGAGCUUUACAGUCACAGGUGUCAUAAGCAGGUUGCAACGGAGAGACUGGAAGAGUCACAGAAAGGCGUAUGAGUGGACGUCCUAUAGUGCAUUAUAGAUGGGAGCAGAGCACCUCAUUUGGAAUCCAUCCCCACAAACAACGACACGCAGGAGCGAUCAAGAUAAGAGUGGCUCUCUGGGUGAGCGCCAUUUGUGUGUUCAGUCGUGUGUAUCUUUGCAUGCGUGUGCAGGCAUUUGAUCCACAUCUUCGAUUAGCUGUCCGCUUAACCUGUCAGAGCCCGUCUCCCUUCGCAACACCGGAGACGGUCCUAGGUGCCUCCCACCGAAAAGGUCACUCUCCGUAGGUCAAAGACAUAUGAAGAUUGGUUUGCCUUGUUGGCUGGGCAUUUCCCUGCUCCGCAGAGCGUCAAGAGUGCGGUGAUGACAGCUGACGGAAAGGCAAAGGGGGGUGAGGAGCUGGAAGAAGAAAGGCAACAAGGCUGGCCGCAGAGUGGAGGUGGUGCAUGCACAUGAUUGAUGACUUUACAGCAGGUUUAGACAACAACAGUAAACAGAUUUGACUGUGAGGAGAGAUCAAUAUGAACGUGCACAUGUGUAUGCAUGCAUGAUGAGUGACCAUGCGUGUGUUUGGAUCCUCAUUUCUCAACGUGUUUGUUACUGCAAGCAAAGCGUCAUUGCAAAAUACUUCUUGUAUGUGCACAUCUCUGUCCAGCUCCCGCUUAUUGUUGUUGUUUUUUCCUCAAUUGUUUUAAUUUGCCCUCAGAUUGAUAGCCCCCCAUAUUGAUUGAUCCAGACCAUUUCAUGGAACGUUUAUUCAAUUGGUUCAGGUAAAGCCAAGCCAGAAUCUCCUCCAGGCUCUCUAAGUGCUAUCUCGAAAUACACUCAAUACUCCCUAAUGUAAUGACUGAAGGCUAGUGCUAAUAUAGUGAUAAUUUAAUAUGUAAUGCCUGUUUUCCAACAAGUUGGGCUUCCGGCCAUUUCGCGAUGCCAACACCGCUCUGCUUCCCCGACAUUCAAAUGCAUCUGUGUGGCUUGGAGCUGGGGUUCCCAACCACUCAAUAUACAGGUUGGAUCAUUGAGUAAAGAAAUUAUUAUUUCACGGACAAACCUUGGCUAUAAAAUCUACACACCCUUGUUCAAUUUUCUGAUACAUAAAAAAAUUAGACCGAUAUCAAUCAUUAUGAAAGGUUUUCCACCAUUAAUGUGGAAAAGUUUACUAAAAUUUCUAAACUUUAUUUGGAGUUCAUCUUUGGGGUUGGUUUUCUUCCACUGGAACUGGGGCCUUUGUCAAGGUGAAGGGAUUUAUGAACAGUCCCAAAUAGAAGUCAGUGUUGGGACAAAACCUUUGGUCUUAUUCUAGAAAUAAAUCAAAUAUUAGGAAAAGCAUACUACAACAUCUGAACUUUAGUUGGGGUUCAUCAGAGGCACUUUGAAUGGUGGCAGGUGUGUGCUGACUCCCGUUUAGCAUGAGUUUGAAUGUGACUGGUCUGAACACAGCCACAUAAAAGGGUAUGUAACCACAUUAUCUCAGUUGUUUAUUUUUACUUUCACUCGCCAAAGGAUUGCAGCGGGGGGAAGGUUCAACUGGGUUGUACAGGUUAUAGGUUACAUUAAUGGUGGAAAAAAGGUUUGAAAUGAUUUAUCUUGGUCUCAUUUUUGCCCAAACUUGGCCUUUGAGCAGGGGUGUGUAGACUUUUUAUAUCCACUGUGCAUCCAAAGACUUUUUUACUUUGACCACACUAUUUCAAACCUUUUCCACCAUUAGUGUGGAAAAGUCUACUAGAACAGCUUAACUUUGUUUAGGGUUAAUCAGAGGCACUUUAAAUGGUAGCAGUUGUGUGCUGACUCCCAUUUAACAUGAGUUUGAAUGUUGUUGGUUAAUUCUGAACACUGUCACAUCCCCAGUUAUGAGUUAUUAUUAUUGAGUUAUACAGGUUAUAGGUCCCAUUAAUGGUGGGGGGGAAAAUCUGAAACAAUUUAUCUUGGUCUCGUUUUCACAAAAGCCUGGUUCACAACAGGGAUGUGUAGACUAUUCAUACCAACUGUACAUUCAUAGACUGUUUUAUUUUGACCAUGUCGUUCUCGCACGUCACUUUUUCUUCAUGGCCAAAGGUAACAAAGCUAAAAUGACCAAAAACAAACUUCGUUGAAAAAAAAAAGUAACUUUCAAUUUAUUAAUAGCAGAGUUUUGAUGAAAAUAGCGAGAGUUUUCAUCUCUACAGGUGAUUCAUCUUCCAAGUUCUCUUUGUUUAAUGUGGCGGCUGGCAUGGGUUUAUUUGUCUGCCUCCACCUUCAAAUGGGAACAUCGGGGCUCCCACUGAUUUUCCAUAAUGGUGAAAUGUGUUAUUUAUUUAUAAAUGUAUAUAUCAUAGUGAUAAUAGAAGAUAAGUUCAGACAUAAAAUAUCCAGUAAUAGAUUGUAUUUACUGUAUGGCACGUUAGGUUGGGGACCACCGUCUUAGAGUACAAUGGAGCCUCCACCCUGCUAUGCAAAGGACUGAGUGCGGUCAAUACAUAUUUCAGAUAAUCAAUAGGUCCAUUUCCAAUGGUGCCCCUGAACGGUCCGCACCACAGCAAUGAAUAGGACCACAGGGAAGUAAAAGAGGGAGCAUCUCAUUAAACUGGCCGCUCUCGAGACAAGAAGAAAAGCCCCAGAGCUAUCUUUAGGUGCCUCAUUAUCAAAUGGGCCUUUCUGAAGGGACAAGUGCCCACACUCCACAGUCUCGAGUGGCUUUCGCCUCGAUUCAUAUGUCAACAACGGCCACUUCAUCUCCGCCGCCGGUUUAAGACAAAGAUUAAGUCAUUGUCUCCUAUUCUGUGCUUCAUCAUUUAAGAGUUUGUGUACUCGUGUCAGGGCAGGAGGACGAGGAUGGUGAUAGGAAUGUACAGUCAAGAGCUGUUCGCCAGAUGUUGUAUUCCUUUCGUUUACCACUGCUCAUGCAGCUGCACACUUGCAUCAUCAUUAGUUGGACUAGGCACUUUAUUAGGCACACAUGCCACUUAAUUGAUCAAAAAAAUAUUUAUUGACUACAAAUGUAUCUUUGUUCAUCUAUCUAUGCCAGUGACGUAUAGUGACAGGCAGAAAAGGCAUUUGUGAAAUUGUUUUGUUAUUGUUUGAUGGUGUGUGUGAAUUUUUUUCUCAUGUCAACUAUAUGCCUUGGCUCAAUAAAGGUUGGGAAACACUUUGGGGGGAUUGAAAUCCUCUGAGAAAGACAUUUUUUUUUAAAUUAAUUUUGUAGUUGUAGUUUGCAGUGGUGCAGAACUGCAGUACAUUAAUAUAUCAAAUAUAUUAAUAAUCAGGCAGGGUUUCCCAAACUUUUUCAGUUUGAGACACAAAUUUGAAAUAUGCUUCCUAUAAUUUUUUUAAAAUAAAAUAUGCUUCCUCCCU